ACAUACUUCUUUAUGUACCCAUAUGAAUAUAUGACAGCUAUGGAAUGUAAAGAAGUAUGUAU
ensembl:miRNA